UACGUAGGGUGCGAGCGUUAAUCGGAAUUACUGGGCGUAAAGCGUGCGCAGGCGGUUCGUUGUGUCGGUGGUGAAAUCCCCGGGCUAACCUGGGAUGGCCAUGGAAACUGGCGAACUGGAGUGCGGCAGAGGGGGGUGGAAUUCCGCGUGUAGCAGUGAAAUGCGUAGAGAUGCGGAGGAACACCGAUGGCGAAGGCAGCCCCCUGGGCUAGCACUGACGCUCAGGACGAAAGCGUGGGGAGCAAACAGG
rnacentral:rRNA from 1 species